GUUGUAAUUUCAACCCCACAUACAUCCCACUUCACGAAAAAGACUUUGUCGUAUUCAGAAGGAGCUUUAUUGUACUACCCACGAGGCUUUCACGAGUUGAGGAAGAUCAAGUGGUGUUGUCUUAUUGGGAUUACACGAAGAAGAGUUUCAAAGGACUUGAGUUGAGGAGGAGAAAAAGAGCAAAUAAAGAAGCAAAAUUGAGUCAAAUUCCAGUGCGUUGGGCACCUAGGCGUCGAAAAUUGACAAAAUGGCAGAAUGUUGGGCGCCUAGGCGCUCAUCUGGGUGCCUAGGCGCUACGAAUGUUGAAGCAUUGAUUUUACAUGCAC